rnacentral:tRNA from 2 species
GGGCCCAUAGAUCAGUGGAUGCCUGCAUCGGGCCACUCAAGAUCGCCGCCUUCGCAAGGCGGAGGCCGCGGGUUCAAAUCCCGCUGGGUCCA